UACGGGGGGGGGCAAGCGUUUGUUCGGAAUUACUGGGCGUAAAGGGUUCGUAGGUGGCUUGUUAAGUCAGACGUGAAAUCCCUCAGCUUAACUGGGGAACUGCGUCUGAUACUGAUGAGCUUGAGUGCAGGAGAGGAACGCGGAAUUCCAGGUGUAGCGGUGAAAUGCGUAGAUAUCUGGAGGAACACCGGUGGCGAAGGCGGCGUCCUGGACCAACACUGACACUGAUGAGCGAAAGCCAGGGGAGCAAACGGGG
rnacentral:rRNA from 1 species